rnacentral:piRNA from 1 species
UGGCAAAGAUAGUGAUAAUGUAGAUGC